rnacentral:rRNA from 1 species
UUUAAGUGAAGAGUUUGAUCCUGGCUCAGAGUGAACGCUGGCGGUAGGCCUAACACAUGCAAGUCGAACGGCAGCACAGGAGAGCUUGCUCUCUGGGUGGCGAGUGGCGGACGGGUGAGGAAUACAUCGGAAUCUACUCUGUCGUGGGGG